UUGAUGACCCCAAACACAAACAUCCGCCUGAGAACUACGAGCACAAACGCUUAAAACUCUAAGGACUUGGCGGUGCUCUAAACCCACCUAGAGGAGCCUGUUCUAUAAUCGAUAACCCACGAUUCACCCGACCACCUCUUGCCAAAACAGCCUAUAUACCGCCGUCGCCAGCCCACCUCGUGAGAGCACAACAGUGAGCCCAACAGCCCACAGCCCACUAACAAGACAGGUCAAGGUAUAGCCUAUGAGGUGGAAGAAAUGGGCUACAUUUUCUAAAAUAGAAAACCCAACGAAAAGGGGCUUGAAACCUGCCCCCAGAAGGCGGAUUUAGCAGUAAAGUAGGA
rnacentral:rRNA from 1 species